AGUCCAGUGGCGCAGUGGUAGCGCGCCGUUCUUAUAGUUCUUGAUGUGUAAUUAAGAUUUAUGGCCAAUUUUGGUUAUGCGGAUGCCGUGGGUUCGACCCCCACCUGGACUA